AUUGAACACUGGCGGCAUGCCUGAAACAUGAAAGUCGGUCGAGCGGCGGCCGGGUGAGGAAUGUAUGGGGACCUGCCUGAUGGCGGGGGAAAACUCCUGUACCCGGUAGCUAAUACCGCAUACCAUCAGAUGAACCCAUAUGGGAUUAGCUAGUAGGUGAGGUAACGGCUUACCUAGGCGACGAUCCCUAGCUGGUCUGAGAGGAUGAUCAGCCACACUGGGACUGAGACACGGCCCAGACUCCUACGGGAGGCAGGAGUGGGGAAUAGUGCACAAUGGGCGCAAGCCUGAUGAAGCCAUGCCGCGUGUAUGAAGAAGGCGUGCGGGUUGUAAAGUACUUUCAGUCGGGAGGCGUUACCGACAGAAGAAGCACCGGCUAACUCCGUGCCAGCAGCCGCGGUAAUAC
rnacentral:rRNA from 1 species